AUUGAACGCUAGCGGGAUGCUUUACACAUGCAAGUCGAACGAGUGGCGGACGGGUGAGUAAUAUAUAGGAACGUGCCCAGUAGCGGGGGAUAACUAACCGAAAGAGUGGCUAAUACCGCACACUAUUGGAGCGGCCGAUCGCGGAUGAGCUAGUUGGUGGGGUAAAGGCUCACCAAGGCAACGAUCCGUGGCUGGUUUGAGAGGACGACCAGCCCCCGUGUGACUGAGACACGGCCCAUGCUCCUACGGGAGGCAGCAGUGGGGAAUUUUGGUCAAGUGGUGAAACCCUGAGCCAGCCCUCGCGCGUGUAUGAGAAGGCCUUCGGGCUGUGAAGUACUUUUGGCAGGGAAGCGGUGUCUGCAGGAUAAGCACCGGCUAACUCCGUGCCAGCAGCCGCGGUAAUUC
rnacentral:rRNA from 1 species